UAGUGAUUUUAUUGUUAGUUUCGAGUGGUCGAUCCGAUAGUCCGCUGAAUAGCUUUCUCCCUGCGCGUUGGACGCUUACUGUCUGCUACGUCUGUUCGUUUUGGGACGUGUAGAGGUCUUAUACCGUUCACUGGAGAGUUUUGCUAUGGCAGGGUUCCGACGAGGCAACUUCGAACAUGAAAGCCCUUCCUCUCGGUGCGCAGGAGGUUCUUCUUCCCGAUACAAGCUCUCCAAAGUAAAACUUUCGAGUGGACGCGAUGUCCUAAAGUUGUAGCUCUAAACGGAACCCCGAAUCACUGUGAUCGUCUCAGCGCUUCGCAUUUGUAUCGUUUGCUAGGAUCGUUUCAAACGUUUAACUUACUUCCCAUCGAAAUUUGAUCUUUUAAUGAAAGAAAAGUGCGCGAACGUCGAAGGUUAUCGAAGAAGAGGCUGUUACAACGAGAAAAGAAUUGCGUUGGUCGGCCAUGGCCUGGGACUGGCAGCUAAAGGCCAGAAAUAGACCCAAUUCCACGUAUUCCGUAACGCGGCACCGAACAUCAUUCUACGUCCAUGUGGCCUCUCGUGUUCUCUAUUUACGGGCUUGCCCUGACUGCCAUGUGGUCGCCAGCUUUAUUUAAAUCGAUGUCGACGAUGCCGAGAGUGAAACGAGGAAAAAGUGCUCUGAAAAAGAAAGGACAGCAAACGCUAACCAUCCACCGUAAUAACCAGUUCGAACGAGUGCACGGUCUGGGUGGACAAAAAUAGGAUGUACGUACGGUCGCCACCAUAUUUCCAUAAAUGAGUUCUCCAAUUACAGGGUCUAUUUCCGGUCCGGGGCUGGCAACCGGAGUCACAGCCAAUUAGAAACGGCCGUGAGACGGCACACGAAGACAUCGAAGGACUCUUCGACGCAGGGUCCGUCGCGUGAUCAUUUUCGAUCAUCGCUGCAGCUAGAUUUACAUGCGGAAAACCAGGAACGUCGCGUGGAACAUUGUUUCUGUGAUUAAAUUUGGAGAUUUUUGGCAAGCUAUAGUGAGGAUCUGUGACGUAAUCAAUUUAGAAUACAAGGCAGCGGAGGGCUACGUUUUAUUCUAUUGUAUUAGCCAUAGAAAUUAUUAGGUGUACUGGAAGUAAUGUCGUUUGUGCAAUUUUAAAUACUCGUUUAUCACUCAUCAGCUCAUUGAUUUUUAUCGAUAUGCCGUUGAAAAUUUGCACACUAAAUGGCAAAAGGCUGUUGAUAGGCGAUUACAUAAUUGAUUAAAAAUAGAAAUUUAUUAAAAAUUUGUUUGAAUUUAAUGUAAAAGAAACGACAUUACUUUCUAGUCUACCUAAUAAUUCUAUGCCUUUCUUGGUUAAACUUACUAUUUAUGAAGAAGAAUUAUGCAACUUUUAAUUUUCUCUCAGCUAUACAUUCCAAGAGAACAUGUGUACUCAAAAAAUGCAAUAGCGAAGUAAUAUUUCAUUAUUGUAUUGGAGAUUUUAUGUAUUUAUAAUCCAAGCGAGUAUGACAAAUAUAUGGUAAACAUAAUCAAAA